GGAGAUUCUGACGGUACCUAAGGAAUAAGCACCGGCUAACUCCGUGCCAGCAGCCGCGGUAAUACGGUAGGGUGCAAGCGUUACUCGGAAUCACUGGGCGUAAAGGGCGCGUAGGCGGAUUAUCAAGUCUCUUGUGAAAUCUAAUGGCUUAACCAUUAAACUGCUUGGGAAACUGAUAGUCUAGAGUGAGGGAGAGGCAGAUGGAAUUGGUGGUGUAGGGGUAAAAUCCGUAGAUAUCACCAAGAAUACCCAUUGCGAAGGCGAUCUGCUGGAACUCAACUGACGCUAAGGCGCGAAAGCGUGGGGAGCAAACAGGAUUAGAUACCCUGGUAGUCCACGCCCUAAACGAUGUACACUAGUUGUUGGGGUGCUAGUCAUCUCAGUAAUGCAGCUAACGCAUUAAGUGUACCGCCUGGGGAGUACGGUCGCAAGAUUAAAACUCAAAGGAAUAGACGGGGACCCGCACAAGCGGUGGAGCAUGUGGUUUAAUUCGAAGAUACGCGAAGAACCUUACCUGGGCUUGAUAUCCUAAGAACCUUUUAGAGAUAAGAGGGUGCUAGCUUGCUAGAACUUAGAGACAGGUGCUGCACGGCUGUCGUCAGCUCGUGUCGUGAGAUGUUGGGUUAAGUCCCGCAACGAGCGCAACCCACGUAUUUAGUUGCUAACGGUUCGGCCGAGCACUCUAAAUAGACUGCCUUCGUAAGGAGGAGGAAGGUGUGGACGACGUCAAGUCAUCAUGGCCCUUAUGCCCAGGGCGACACACGUGCCUACAAUGA
rnacentral:rRNA from 1 species